GUAUCUGCCUUUUGGUUUGGAAUAACACGGGGAAACUUGUGCUAAUACCGGAUAAGCCUUUACAGGGAAAGUUUUAACGCCAAAAGAUGAGCCCAUACUUGAUUAGCUAGUUGGUAAGGUAAUGGCUUACCAAGGCUACGAUCAAUAGCUGAUCUGAGAGGAUGAUCGGCCACAUUGGGACUGAGACACGGCCCAAACUCCUACGGGAGGCAGCAGUGGGGAAUCUUGCACAAUGGGGGAAACCUUGAUGCAGCGAUGCCGCGUGAGUGAAGAAGGCCUUUGGGUUGUAAAGCUCUUUCGUCGGGGAAGAAAAUGACUGUACCCGAAUAAGAAGGUCCGGCUAACUUCGUGCCAGCAGCCGCGGUAAUACGAAGGGACCUAGCGUAGUUCGGAAUUACUGGGCUUAAAGAGCUCGUAGGUGGUUAAGAAAGUUGGUGGUGAAAUCCCAAGGCUUAACCUUGGAACUGCCACCAAAACUUUUUGACUAGAGUAUGAUAGAGGUAAGUGGAAUUUCUAGUGUAGAGGUGAAAUUCGUAGAUAUUAGAAAGAACACCAAUUGCGAAGGCAACUUUCUGGAUCAUUACUGACACUGAGGAGCGAAAGCAUGGGUAGCGAAGAGGAUUAGAUACCCUCGUAGUCCAUGCCGUAAACGAUGUGUGCUAGACGUUGGAAAUUUAUUUUUCAGUGUCGCAGCAAAAGCAUUAAGCACACCGCCUGGGGAGUACGACCGCAAGGUUAAAACUCAAAUGAAUUGACGGGGACCCGCACAA
rnacentral:rRNA from 1 species